UACGAAGGGGGCAAGCGUUGUUCGGAAUUACUGGGCGUAAAGGGCGCGUAGGCGGCUUAUCAAGUCAGGCGUGAAAUCCCCAGGCUUAACCUGGGAACUGCAUUCGAGACUGCAUUGCUAGAGUAUGGGAGAGGGAAGUGGAAUUUCCGGUGUAGCGGUGAAAUGCGUAGAUAUCGGAAGGAACAUCAGUGGCGAAAGCGACUUCCUGGACCAAUACUGACGCUCAUGUGCGAAAGCGUGGGGAGCAAACAGG
rnacentral:rRNA from 1 species